CAGAUAUUGGCGCUUGGCUCUGUUCACGAGUGGUGUUUGCAAUGAUGGAUCGCCUCGAGCACGAUUAGAGUACGUUUUCGGAUAUGAUCAAACGGUGAAGUUAGAUAAGUAUAUUUAAUAUUCAUGAUUAAGUGAUCCGAAUUUUCGGAAGCCGAUAUUCAGCGGUUGUCUAAAAAUCGCUAUCGCGUUACAACAACAGCCGCGACCGGGAGCCUGUCGCAAUCCGGGGGGUAAAGAGAUAAUUUCUCCCCUACAAGAUCCAAAAAAAUCACAAAAAAUCCGCCAAAUCAUUCGAUAAACUGUCUCGCGUCAAACUCACAGGGACGCUGGAGGUUGAUUGGAUACGUCUGAAAUACCGCCCAGCAUGAUAUUCUCCUUCUCGUUGCUCGAGAGCGACCAACGCCGUCAUACGGGAAGGCGCGAAUCGUGACCGCCAACAUUUGCCUCCUAUUUGCAGGCGACGAACGGAGAUCAGCGAUAAUUUCCUGUUUGCCACGGAUGUUCACCACAACCUAGAUUGUUUCCUCGCGCCAACCGAGCGAGAUUAUCGCCGAUGAUGGAGAUGAUGAUUAAACGUAAUUCAUCAAGUUCAAACGCUAGUUGACAGCAGGUGCGUGACGCGUUAGUUCGGACAUAUAGAUCAUGUGCCGGGCGAAAGUGAUUUUUUACCAUUAGCUGAUAGAUAAAAGAAGGUAUAGGUAUACUGAAGUACUUCAAUAGAUAAUUAUGGAAAGGAUCGAUUAUAUACCGACAUGGGUAUAGUCCUGCCCCGUUGAACAAUGAAAGACCGCAUGUGUAAGAUGUAUUCAAAAUAUUGCCGAAAACUAUUUUUGUCAUGGUUCUGACUCAACAGUAAAUUUGACACCCAAAGUUUCAAUUUUUAUUAAGGGGGGACCUCUGUCUGGAAGGUCGAAAAAUGAUAAAUUUUCGUGAUUUUUUUACGGAUGUUAGAAAUAAAGUGAAGUACUCGGGUAUUUUGUUUAUUGUUUAAGGUAUAUUUGAAGAUGUUUUUUCUCAUUUUUUGAGAGCAUGAAUAAUGAUUAUCACGCUAUUGGAAGCUGGAUGUGUAGAUGUUGUCUGAAAAUCGGUACCUUGCUGGUGGUAUCGGUUCUGAAGCAACGGGGCAUCGCAGAACAUGAUGAUAGAAAAUUUCAGCCAAAUCGGUCGAGUAGAUCCUGAAAUAUUGAUACCACCAGUUGAGAGUACAUGGUUUCGAGAAAAACGCGUUUAAAAAUCACACAGCAAUACUAUAUUCUUUGAGGUGACUUCGUACUUUUGGCUGUAACUUUCCAACGAAAUCAAAUAUUGAAAAAUCCUUUUAGGACAACAUUUCUGAGGGCAUAAGCUUCCGAAAAAUGCAAAAAACUAAAAUUCCAAUAUUAAUAGCGACGUUUUAGGGAAAAGACAAGAAGUGAGUUAUGUUUGUGAUAUAAUUGAAGGACGUAGGACUAACAUUGGGAUGGUAACCAUUUGUUUGAAGUUUCAUCUGAAUCAAUUCUCAAUGAUGUGCUGCUCUUGUUUCUAAAAGGGACUUU